ACAGGUUUGGUCCUAAUCUUAAUAUUGGCUAUAACUACGAUUAUACAUGUAAGUUUCUACACCCCGGUGAAUACACCCCUUAUUUCCAAUCAGUAAUAAAGGAGUCGGUAUCAGGCACAUAGCCCAAAACACCUUGCCAAGCCACACCUACACAGGAAAUCAGCAGUAAUAAACAUUGAACAAUAAGUGAAAACUUGAUCCAGUAAUAGUUAUUAAAGUCGGUAAAUCUCGUGCCAGCCACCGCGGUUAUACGAGAGACUUAAGUUAAUAUAUGCGGCCCAAAGAACAGCUAGAGAAAUAAACUAUAGGACUGAGAGACUUUAAAGCCGUUAUACGCAAAAAACUUAAAAAUUCACAUUUUUUCCUACCUUACUUGAAUCUGUUAAAGCCUGGGGACACACUGGGAUUAGAUACCCCACUAUGCCGGGCCAUAAACUAAGGGACAUUCCCCGCCAGAGCACUACGAGCCACAGCUUAAAACUCAAAGGACUUGGCGGUGCCCUACACCCACCUAGAGGAGCCUGUUCUAUAAUUGACAAUCCCCAAUAAACCUUGCCGCCCCUUGUAAACACAGCCUAUAUACCACCGUCACAAGCCCACCCCAUAAAGGACUUAUAGUAGGCUAAAUAAUUAAAAAUAAAAAUGUCAGGUCAAGGUGUAGCAUAUGAGUCGGAAAGAAAUGGGCUACAUUUUCUUCAAAGAAAAUACGGAGUAUUUUAUGAAAUAAAAUAUGAAGGAGGAUUUAGCAGUAAAUAAAGAAUAGAGAGCUCUUUUAAAAUUGGCAAUAGGACGAGCACACACCGCCCGUCACCCUCUUUACACACAUAUAAUAUAAAUAAAAAAAUAAAUAUUUCAGAAGAGGAAAGUCGUAACAUGGUAAGUCUACCGGAAGGUGGUCUUGGAA
rnacentral:ncRNA from 1 species